rnacentral:rRNA from 1 species
AAAGCUCAAAUUUGAAAUCUGAUGGUCCUUGACCGUCCGAGUUGUAAUCUAGAGAAGUGUUACCUGUGCUGGACCGUGUACAAGUCUCCUGGAAUGGAGCAUCACAGAGGGUGAGAAUCCCGUCUUUGACACGGACUGCCUGUACAUUAUGGUGCGCUCUCGAAGAGUCGAGUUGUUUGGGAAUGCAGCUCAAAAUGGGUGGUAAAUGCCAUCUAAAGCUAAAUAUUGGCGAGAGACCGAUAGCGAA